rnacentral:rRNA from 1 species
UACGGGGGGGGCAAGCGUUGUUCGGAAUUACUGGGCGUAAAGGGCUCGUAGGCGGCCAACUAAGUCGGACGUGAAAUCCCCAGGCUCAACCUGGGAACUGCGUCCGAUACUGGAUGGCUUGAAUCCGGGGAGGGAUGCAGAAUUCCAGGUGUAGCGGUGAAAUGCGUAGAUAUCUGGAGGAAUACCGGUGGCGAAGGCGGCAUCCUGGACCGGCAUUGACGCUGAGGAGCGAAAGCCAGGGGAGCAAACGGG